rnacentral:rRNA from 1 species
UACGUAGGUGGCAAGCGUUGUCCGGAUUAUUGGGUUUAAAGGGUGCGUAGGCGGUCCUUUAAGUCAGUGCUGAAAUACUCUAGCUUAACUAGAGGGGUGGCAUUGAUACUGGAGGACUUGAAUGAAGUCGAGGUAGGCGGAAUUGACGGUGUAGCGGUGAAAUGCUUAGAUAUCGUCAAGAACACCGAUAGUGAAGACAGCUUACUAGGCUUAGAUUGACGCUGAGGCACGAAAGUGUGGGGAUCAAACAGG